CUGACCUCGGUUCAGACGUGAAUUACCCGCUGAAUUAGCCAUA
rnacentral:rRNA from 1 species